rnacentral:rRNA from 1 species
GACAGAGGGUGCAAACGUUGUUCGGAAUUACUGGGCGUAAAGCGCGUGUAGGCGGCCCUGCAAGUCGGAUGUGAAAUCCCACGGCUCAACCAUGGAAGUGCGCCCGAAACUGCAGAGCUUGAGUACCGGAGAGGAUGGCGGAAUUCCCCAAGUAGAGGUGAAAUUCGUAGAUAUGGGGAGGAACACCGGUGGCGAAGGCGGCCAUCUGGACGGAUACUGACGCUGAGACGCGAAAGCGUGGGUAGCAAACAGG